rnacentral:rRNA from 1 species
UACGUAGGUGGCAAGCGUUGUCCGGAAUUAUUGGGCGUAAAGCGCGCGCAGGCGGUCCUUUAAGUCUGAUGUGAAAGCCCACGGCUCAACCGUGGAGGGUCAUUGGAAACUGGGGGACUUGAGUGCAGAAGAGGAAAGCGGAAUUUCCGGUGUAGCGGUGAAAUGCGUAGAUAUCUGGAGGAACACCCGUGGUGCAGACGGCUUGCUGGACCGUGACUGACGCUGAGGCACGAAAGCGUGGGUAGCAAACAGG